rnacentral:rRNA from 1 species
AUUCCCCUAGUAACUGCGAGUGAAGCGGGAAAAGCUCAAAUUUAAAAUCUGGCGGUUAUGCCGUCCGAGUUGUAAUCUGGAGAAGCGUUUUCCGUGUUGGACCGUGUACAAGUCUCUUGGAACAGAGCGUCAUAGAGGGUGAGAAUCCCGUCUUUGACACGGACUACCAAUGCUUUGUGAUACGCUCUCAAAGAGUCGAGUUGUUUGGGAAUGCAGCUCAAAAUGGGUGGUAAAUGCCAUCUAAAGCUAAAUAUUGGCGAGAGACCGAUAGCGAACAAGUACCGUGAGGGAAAGAUGAAAAGCACUUUGGAAAGAGAGUUAAACAGUACGUGAAAUUGUUGAAAGGGAAACGCUUGAAGUCAGUCGCGUUGUCUGGGACUCAGCCUUGCUUCUGCAUGGUGUACUUCCUGGUUAACGGGCCAACAUCGAUUUUGGUCGGUGGAUAAAGUCAGGAGGAAUGUGGCACCCUCGGGUGUGUUAUAGCCUCUUGUCGCAUGCAUCGACUGGGAUCGAGGAUCGCAGCACGCCUUUUUGGCCGGGGUUCGCCCACGUAACGUGCUUAGGAUGUUGGCAUAAUGGCUUUAAUCGACCCGUCUUGAAACACGGACCAAGGAGUCUAACAUGCCCGCGAGUGUUAGGGUGGAAAACCCUUGCGCGUAAUGAAAGUGAAAGUUGGGACCUCUGUCAUGGGGGGCACCGACGCCCGGCCCUGAGCUUUUGUGACGGCGCCGCGGUAGAGCGUGUAUGUUGGGACCCGAAAGAUGGUGAACUAUGCCUGAAUAGGGCGAAGCCAGAGGAAACUCUGGUGGAGGCUCGUAGCGAUUCUGACGUGCAAAUCGAUCGUCAAAUUUGGGUAUAGGGGCGAAAGACUAAUCGAACCAUCUAGUAGCUG